rnacentral:rRNA from 1 species
UACAGAGGUUCCAAGCGUUGUUCGGAUUCAUUGGGCGUAAAGGGUGCGUAGGCGGUGGGGUAAGUUGGAUGUGAAAUCUUGGGGCUUAACCUCAAAAUUGCAUUCAAUACUGCUCCGCUCGAGUUCUGUAGAGGAGAUUGGAAUUUACGGUGUAGCAGUGAAAUGCGUAGAUAUCGUAAGGAACGCCAGUGGCGAAAGCGAAUCUCUGGGCAGCAACUGACGCUGAGGCACGAAGGCCAGGGGAGCAAACGGG